CCUGGUGGCUUUAGCGGAGAUACUACACCCGUUCCCAUUUCGAACACGGAAGUUAAGCUCUCCAGCGCCGAGGAUACUGUGUGAAGAUUAACACAUGGGAGAGUAGGUCGCCGCCAGGG
rnacentral:rRNA from 1 species